GUUGAGGAAGAAAACAAUAUUGACAUCUGC
rnacentral:piRNA from 1 species